rnacentral:tRNA from 1 species
GAGGGUAUAGCUCUGUGGUAGAGUGUAUGCCUAGCAUGCACUAGGUCUUGGGUUCAAUUCCCAGUAAUUCCA